rnacentral:rRNA from 1 species
GUUAAGCGACUAAGCGUACACGGUGGAUGCCCUGGCAGUCAGAGGCGAUGAAGGGCGUGCUAAUCUGCGAUAAGCGCCGGUAAGGUGAUAUGAACCGUUAUAACCGGCGAUACCCGAAUGGGGAAACCCAGUGUGACUCGUCACACUAUCAUUAACUGAAUCCAUAGGUUAAUGAGGCGAACCGGGGGAACUGAAACAUCUAAGUACCCCGAGGAAAAGAAAUCAACCGAGAUUCCCCCAGUAGCGGCGAGCGAACGGGGAGGAGCCCAGAGCCUGAAUCAGCAUGUGUGUUAGUGGAAGCGUCUGGAAAGGCGCGCGAUACAGGGUGACAGCCCCGUACACAAAAGCGCAUGUGCUGUGAGCUCGAUGAGUAGGGCGGGACACGUGGUAUCCUGUCUGAAUAUGGGGGGACCAUCCUCCAAGGCUAAAUACUCCUGACUGACCGAUAGUGAACCAGUACCGUGAGGGAAAGGCGAAAAGAACCCCGGCGAGGGGAGUGAAAAAGAACCUGAAACCGUGUACGUACAAGCAGUGGGAGCACCCUUUUGGGUGUGACUGCGUACCUUUUGUAUAAUGGGUCAGCGACUUAUAUUCUGUAGCAAGGUUAACCGAAUAGGGGAGCCGGAGGGAAACCGAGUCUUAACCGGGCGUUAAGUUGCAGGGUAUAGACCCGAAACCCGGUGAUCUAGCCAUGGGCAGGUUGAAGGUUGGGUAACACUAACUGGAGGACCGAACCGACUAAUGUUGAAAAAUUAGCGGAUGACCUGUGGCUGGGGGUGAAAGGCCAAUCAAACCGGGAGAUAGCUGGUUCUCCCCGAAAGCUAUUUAGGUAGCGCCUCGUGAAUUCAUCUCCGGGGGUAGAGCACUGUUUCGGCUAGGGGGCCAUCCCGGCUUACCAACCCGAUGCAAACUGCGAAUACCGGAGAAUGUUAUCACGGGAGACACACGGCGGGUGCUAACGUCCGUCGUGAAGAGGGAAACAACCCAGACCGCCAGCUAAGGUCCCAAAGUCAUGGUUAAGUGGGAAACGAUGUGGGAAGGCCCAGACAGCCAGGAUGUUGGCUUAGAAGCAGCCAUCAUUUAAAGAAAGCGUAAUAGCUCACUGGUCGAGUCGGCCUGCGCGGAAGAUGUAACGGGGCUAAACCAUGCACCGAAGCUGCGGCAGCGACGCUGAUGCGUUGUUGGGUAGGGGAGCGUUCUGUAAGCCUGCGAAGGUGGCCUGUGAGGGUUGCUGGAGGUAUCAGAAGUGCGAAUGCUGACAUAAGUAACGAUAAAGCGGGUGAAAAGCCCGCUCGCCGGAAGACCAAGGGUUCCUGUCCAACGUUAAUCGGGGCAGGGUGAGUCGACCCCUAAGGCGAGGCCGAAAGGCGUAGUCGAUGGGAAACGGGUUAAUAUUCCCGUACUUGGUGUUACUGCGAAGGGGGGACGGAGAAGGCUAUGUUGGCCGGGCGACGGUUGUCCCGGUUUAAGCGUGUAGGUGUGUGUUCCAGGUAAAUCCGGUU